UACGAAGGGUGCAAGCGUUACUCGGAAUUACUGGGCGUAAAGCGUGCGUAGGUGGUUCGUUAAGUCUGUCGUGAAAGCCCCGGGCUCAACCUGGGAAUGGCGAUGGAUACUGGCGGGCUAGAGUGCGGUAGAGGAGAGUGGAAUUCCCGGUGUAGCAGUGAAAUGCGUAGAUAUCUGGAGGAACACCGGGUGGCGAAGGGCGGCAUCCUGGACCAUUACUGACGCUGAGGAGCGAAAGCCAGGGAGCAAACGGG
rnacentral:rRNA from 1 species